rnacentral:snRNA from 1 species
AUCUCUUUGGAGACAUCUAAUAAAAUUGAAAUGAUAAAGAGAACAUUACAUGGACCCUACACAAGGAUGACAUGCACAAAUUGAGAAAUGAUCCAAAUUUUC